UGAUCCUUUGGGUAUUCUGGAGAAAAAUGGCAAUUGAGGCCUUCAAGGACUCCAUUUAGAAGACCUUUGGAGGGGGUGUGUGUUGCUAUUGUUUUCUGAAAGGGACAGGUGACAGUCAGCACGACUCUGUGGACCUGACCUGAAACUUCCUGAUUUAUAUGUGUAUUGAUAACUGUCACUAACAAAGUUAGUGGCUGCCGUGAUUCAUAGUCCAGCAAAAGUAAAUAUAAAUAUUUAAUUUCAACAUUUUUUAAACAAAAUAUAGGAAAACUGGA
rnacentral:lncRNA from 13 species